rnacentral:tRNA from 1 species
GGGUGUUUAGCUCAGUUGGUUUAGAGCGUCUCGUUUACACCGAGAAGGUCAGGGGUUCGACUCCCUUAACACCCACCA